AACCAGGAAUAGAAAUCCACAAGGCUUGGAACCUCAAGGCCUGAAACGUUCAGAUGACACCGUCACCUUCCAGGAAAUUGCCUCACUCUCUGCUUCUGAGUUCCACAUUGUGACUUAUAUCCUCUUGGGUGCUGGCUCCCCACUGAUGCACAGGGAGGAUAGGGCAGAGGAAGUAAAAGCCUCGCCCUGCAGAAAGCAGCUCAUUUCUAACCUGGUGCCUGCUCAGCUGGAAUCUGAUUCUCAGAAACAUGCUUUGCUGCCCAUACAGAGAAGACCAUCCAUUCAAUUUCUCAGAAGAAGAAGCAAAGGCUAGUUGGGGGCACCCUGCCACACCCCUUUUGAGGAGGUGAGCGGAUGUCCGUGAUGCCCACCACUGCGGAGGGUUCCCAGGGAUGGCCCUGUCGAUCACAAAGCUGACCCCUGUGGCACCCAUGUGUGUCCGCGUCAUUUUACAGAAAGGGCCCAGCAGAACCCUUUCACCACAGAGGUUCUUCAUACCAGCCUCCUGGCUGCUAAGGCCAGCCCAACAUCUUUUGUAGCAAAUGACAGUGCAUCACUCUUAUCUGGAAGCUACUUGUUCAACAAUUUCUGUGAAUCAGAACCCUGCCAGGAAUCAUGAAGGACAAUGAAGAACUCUGAGCACCAGACUGCACAACAACAGCAACCCUUUCACCAUCAUGUACAUUUGUAGAGCAUUUCAUGGUUGCCAACUCAGUUUUACAUACUUAAUGCCAUGCCGUUAAGAGGCAGGAGUGCAGAGAGGUCUGGGCACUAAAGCACAAGUACUCUACUUGUAGAAGGGGUCCUCACUUAUACCUUAUUUAUUCUUGCCCUACACACUCUUGUGACAGACCCAGUCACGUAGUUUUCCAGGCCAUUACAGAUUCAGAGUAGAACAAGAGAAGGGAAAUAAGGCUUGAGGUAGGAACACAGAAAGCAUCAAGGCAUGACAGAUGACAGCAAGUGAAGAGACAGGAAAAUUAUAUAAAGCAUAUCAAAGUGGAGUUAAUUGCAUUCUAAGACCAUGGGGGCAGGGCAGGGGGGCCAGGGGGUGGGAAAUGGUCUGUACAUCAAUUGCCCUGAGGGGCACUGCUGACUUUUAGCACAAAGCAGUAAGGAAAAAAUGAUGAUUUGGGGCCAUGAGGACAAAGGUUAAAUACUGUGUACAGCAUUCAAUUACUUUGGGUAACAACAUAUGACUACUUUCUUUUGUAAAUGUCUCUCCUAGUUUCUAAAACGCUCCCUGAAUUGAUAAACAGAGUUUGAAAAGAACAUUUACAUUUUUAAAAAAGUAAAACCCACUCUCACAAGUAGCACUGUGACAGGACUUCCUGGCUUUUCUCAAUUGCUAAAGACCUUCCUCCCAUGGAUCGCCAAGUAGCCUAAGCUUGCACUCUACCACUGCAGAUCCAGGCUGAAAUCCAGUCUGUCCCUUCCUUUUCCCCAUUAGUCCUCAUUGUUUAGCUCCGGAGUUGCAUAAUUUACAGUCACCCUGUGAAGGGCUGUGUGUUCCCAAGUAGGAAGCUGUCACACUGAAUAGAGCACUGCUGGGCUGUGUUCACAAACAGCAUUUCACAAUUCCUUUGCACAGCCAGUAACAGCAAACCUCCUCUUUGCGUGCAGGCAGCUCCCACCAAUCAGUCAGACUGGGGGAAGGGGUGCCAGGAAGGACUGCAACCAUAAAUUCUCUCUAGUCCACUGUAUAACAAAGCAGAGUCAUAAAACCGCAACCAUAUUUUCAAGUCAGGACCGAAACAAGAUGCCCAGGCCAACUCCUAAUUUGGUUCCUAGAACCCAACAACUUGUGAACUAAUUUUCUCAGUUGGGAGGGAACCAUAUGGGGGGGUUCGAGAGGGCAGGAUGAAAGUGAUCUCAGGACUUUGGGUAGGAACUCAACCUAGGAGCUGACAAUAAGCAGGCCUGUGUGAGUCUGAAGACGAUAGCACAGCUUUAUUAGAGGCAGAUCUGCACAGGGCGGAGGCCCGGGAGACAGCCUGGUUGAGGGGAGGAGGCCCAAAGACUUCUGUGGGUAUCUAAAAUCGUAUACAGAAGGUGUGCAAACUGGUACAUGCAUGAAAGAGAAACCUCCAACUUUGGAAUGUCCUCUCAGUGAUAAACCAAGGUGUGACCCUGAACAAAUAUUUCGAAUAGCCUCUCUGCAUCUCACUUCCUUCAUCUAUAAAAUGGGGAUAACCAAAAAUCAGCCUCCAGUAAGUUGAGCUCACAUAUGUAGUAAGCAUUGUAAAUAACAGGUGUUUGGUAAAUGUGAUUUCCUUCUCCCCAGCUGUGUCCUUCUACCCCAACCCUUCCUGAACAGUCACUGGGAAGCAGAAAUGGGAAAAAUGGGACCACACUCAUUCUUGCUCUGUUACUAGCAAGGCCAUGGGAACCUAGACAGGUUACUCCCUUCUCUGGGCCUCAUGAUCUACAGAUUAACCAUUAGAAUUUAUAUAAAAAUUAAGUAAGGUUGAUGAAUACAAAAUCAAUAUGCAAUCUGUUGUAUUUCUCUAGACCAGCAACAAAUACAAACUGCAAUUCAAAAAAGGCAGUUAUAAGACCACUGUAAAUAUCAAGUAUCUAGCUAUAAAUCUAACAAAAAGUAUAUGAGAUCUCUAUGGGCAAUGUAAGUAUUUCUGAGAGAAAUUAUGACAACCUAAAUAAAUGGUGAAAUAUAACAUGUUCAUGGAUCAGCAAAACUUAAGAUUUAAAGAUGUCAAAUCUAAAGAUGUCAAUUCUACCCAAACAGAUUAGUAUCAUAAACCGAGUCUAAUAUUUACAUGCAAACACACAGGGCUGAGAACAGCCAAACAUUGAUGAAGAUGACCAUGAGAAGAGACGGGAUUUGCUAAACAUCAAGACAUGUUACAAAGUUGUAGUAAUCAAGACAGCAUGGCACUGACAUAGGAAUAGAGUCCAGUGGAAUGGUCUAAAGAGACAAGAAACAGGUCUCUGCAUAUAUAAACACACGACUUAAAAUAGAGGUGGUUCUACAGAACAGUGCCUGAAAAAAUGGCCUUUUGGAUAAGCAAUGCUGGCACAAACAGGUGUCUAUUAGGGAAAAAAAUAAAACAAGACCUCUAUCUUAUACCACAUACAAGAAUUACAGGUGAAUUAAAAACCUAAAUAUGGAAGAAAAAAGCUUCAAAUCUUUUUGAACAGGAGGAUAAAAGAGGGUAGCUUUUAUCACUUAGAGAUAAAGAAAGAAGGAUUUCUCAAAUAGGACACAAAAAACAAUAAUCAAAAAGGGAAUACCGAAAACUCUGACUACAUUAAAAAUAUGAACAUCUUUUUAUCACAGUUCACCAUUAACAAAGCGAAAAACCAAGCCAGAGAAUGGGAGGUAAUAUCUGUAAUGAAUACCACUGGAAAAGGACUAGUAUCCAGAACAUAUAAAGAAUGCCUAAAAAUUACUAAUAAAAUUACAACCUAAUUUAAAAAGUAAUAAAAGCACAGGUGUUUCUCAAAAGAGGAAAUCAAAUGUCCAAAAAAUAUGUGAAAAGCUGCUAGAAUAUGUAAAGUAAAAGCACAAUGAAAUACUACUGCUUACCAAUACAGUUGGCAAAAAUUUUAAAGUUUGAC